rnacentral:rRNA from 1 species
UACGGAGGGUGCGAGCGUUGUCCGGAAUUAUUGGGCGUAAAGAGCUCGUAGGCGGUCUGUCGCGUCUGCUGUGAAAUCCCGAGGCUCAACCUCGGGCCUGCAGUGGGUACGGGCAGACUAGAGUGCGGUAGGGGAGAUUGGAAUUCCUGGUGUAGCGGUGGAAUGCGCAGAUAUCAGGAGGAACACCGAUGGCGAAGGCAGAUCUCUGGGCCGUAACUGACGCUGAGGAGCGAAAGCGUGGGGAGCGAACAGG